rnacentral:lncRNA from 1 species
UACGUUUUCUUUUUUGGAAAAACUGCCGUUUUGAGGGGGGUGCGUCUUAUACAAAGGUGCGUAUUAUAGACCGGAAAAUGUGGUAAUCCAUUAUUCUGGAAUUAAA